rnacentral:rRNA from 1 species
UCUGGCUCAGAACGAACGCUGGCGGCGUGGAUAAGACAUGCAAGUUGAACGCUAAUUUUUAGGUAGCAAUAUCUGAAAGUUGGAGUGGCGAAAGGGUGCGUAACACGUGGGUAAUCUGCCAUGAAGUUAGGAAUAACUCCGAGAAAUCGGAGCUAAUGCCAAAUGUGCCAAAGUAGUAGCAUUUUUACUUUGGUAAAGUCGGGGACCGCAAGGCCUGACGCUUUAUGAUUAGCCCGCGGCCUAUCAGCUAGUUGGUGGGGUAAUGGCUCACCAAGGCUAAGACGGGUAGCUGGUCUGAGAGGACGACCAGCCACACUGGAACUGAGACACGGUCCAGACACCUACGGGUGGCAGCAGUCGAGAAUUUUUCUCAAUGGGGGAAACCCUGAAGGAGCGACGCCGCGUGGAGGAUGAAGGUCUUCGGAUUGUAAACUCCUGUCAUUUGGGAACAAUGUGCAUUUAUUAACUGUAGAUGUAUUGAUAGUACCAGAAGAGGAAGAGACGGCUAACUCUGUGCCAGCAGCCGCGGUAAUACAGAGGUCUCAAGCGUUGUUCGGAUUCAUUGGGCGUAAAGGGUGCGUAGGUGGCGUUAUAAGUCAGGUGUGAAAUCUCGGGGCUCAACCCCGAAACUGCACUUGAUACUGUGAUGCUAGAGUACUGGAGAGGAGAUUGGAAUUUACGGUGUAGCAGUGAAAUGCGUAGAUAUCGUAAGGAAGACCAGUGGCGAAGGCGAAUCUCUGGACAGUUACUGACACUGAGGCACGAAGGCCAGGGGAGCAAACGGGAUUAGAUACCCCGGUAGUCCUGGCAGUAAACGGUGCGCGUUUGGUG